AUUGAACGCUGGCGGCAUGCUUUACACAUGCAAGUCGAACGGUAACAGGCCGCAAGGUUCUGCCGAUGGGCGCACGGGUGAGUAAUGCAUCGGCACGUGCCCAGUCCGGGGGGAUAACUACUCACAAGAGUAGCUAAUACCGCAUACGAUCUAUGGAUGAAAGCGAGGGACCGUAAAGCCUCGCGCGAUUGGAGCGGCCGAUGUUAGAUUUGGUAGUUGGUGGGGUAAAGGCUCACCAAUCCAACGAUCUGUAGCUGGUCUGAGAGGACGACCAGCCACACUGGGACUGAGACACGGCCCAGACUCCUACGGGAGGCAGCAGUGGGGAAUUUUGGACAAUGGGCGCAAGCCUGAUCCAGGAAUGCCGCGUGCAGGAAGAAGGCCUUCGGGUUGUAAACUGCUUUUGUACGGAACGAAACGGCUCUGGUUAAUACCCGGGGGUAAUGACGGUACCGUAAGAAUAAGCACCGGCUAACUACGUG
rnacentral:rRNA from 1 species